UACGAAGGGGGCUAGCGUUGCUCGGAAUCACUGGGCGUAAAGCGCACGUAGGCGGUUUGUUAAGUCGGAUGUGAAAUCCCUCGGCUCAACUGAGGAAGUGCAUCCGAAACUGGCAAGCUUGAGUACGAAAGAGGGUCGCGGAAUUCCCGGUGUAGAGGUGAAAUUCGUAGAUAUCGGGAGGAACACCGGUGGCGAAGGCGGGUCUCUGGGCCGAAAUUGACGCUGAGGAGCGAAAGCGUGGGGAGCAAACAGG
rnacentral:rRNA from 1 species